rnacentral:tRNA from 1 species
ACGGGAAUAGCUCAGUUGGUAGAGCACCGGUCUCCAAAACCGGGUGUCGAGAGUUCGAGUCUUUCUUCCCGUG